rnacentral:rRNA from 1 species
UUGUCGUGCAGGGGAUGCCCAUCGUUUACUGUGAAAAAAUUAGAGUGUUCAAAGCAGGCUUAUGCCUCUGAAUAUAUUAGCAUGGAAUAAUGAUAUAGGACCUUGGUACUAUUUUGUUGGUUUGCGCACUGAGGUAAUGAUUAAGAGGGACAGUUGGGGGUAUUUGUAUUCCAUUGUCAGAGGUGAAAUUCUUGGAUUUUUGGAAGACAAACUACUGCGAAAGCAUUUACCAAGGAUGUUUUCAUUAAUCAAGAACGAAAGUUAGGGGAUCGAAGAUGAUUAGAUACCAUCGUAGUCUUAACCAUAAACUAUGCCGACAAGGGAUUGGUGGAGUUUCGUUUCGUCUCCAUCAGCACCUUGUGAGAAAUCAUAAGUCUUUGGGUUCCGGGGGGAGUAUGGU